AAAGUCUCUAAGGUUUGUGCUUUGACGGAAGAGUAUGGAGCUUCAAAAAAUUAACCUUCUAAUCGGAUUAGAUCUCAAGAUCUAAAAAUUCAAUAGAGAUAUGGAAGUUUAAGAAAGCGCAUGAAGAUCUAUUAAAGCAUGGUCAAGAAAGAAUCAUUCGACUGUUCUCUCUUUGCCGGCGAAUAUUCCAAUCCGGCGAUAGACAAAACAGAGAUGACGAGUUGGACGCGUGUAAACAAGUCAAUGAAAUUCAUUUGUACGGCACCACGUUUAGAGAUGACAGAGUGUGUUGCUUUGCCUAAGAGUUUUCUUGUUGGGCUUGGUUUUCAUUUUUAGGCCUUGUUAUAAAUAAUGGCCCAUGUUUGUUUUGGUUUACUAGUGUCCGGUUUUUUUGGC